AACGAACGCUGGCGGCAGGCCUAACACAUGCAAGUCGAGCGAGGACUUCGGUCCUAGCGGCGGACGGGUGAGUAACGCGUGGGAACGUGCCCUUUGCUUCGGAAUAGCCCUGGGAAACUGGGAGUAAUACCGGAUGAGCCCUUUGGGGGAAAGAUUUAUCGGCGAAGGAUCGGCCCGCGUUGGAUUAGGUAGUUGGUGGGGUAAUGGCCUACCAAGCCGACGAUCCAUAGCUGGUUUGAGAGGAUGAUCAGCCACCCUGGGAGUGGGACACGGCCCAAAUUCCAGCGGAAGGCAGCAGGGGGGAAUCUUAAACAAAGGGGGAAACCCGAAUCUAGCCUGGCCGUGGAAGGGUUAAAGGCCUUAGGAUUUUAAAUCCCUUUAUGCUGGGAAGAUAAGACCGUAACCGACAGAAAAAGCCCCGCUAACCUCCUG
rnacentral:rRNA from 1 species